rnacentral:rRNA from 1 species
UUAAGGAACUCGGCAAAUUGCCCCCGUAACUUCGGGAGAAGGGGGGCCACCGAUGGUGAGACCACAUGCUGGUGGAGCGGUUGGUGGCCGCAGAGACCAGGGGGAAGCGACUGUUUACUAAAAACACAGGUCCAUGCGAAGUCAUAAGACGAUGUAUAUGGACUGACGCCUGCCCGGUGCUGGAACGUUAAGGGGACCUGUUAGUCCGUGAGGGCGAAGCGGAGAACUUAAGCGCCAGUAAACGGCGGUGGUAACUAUAACCAUCCUAAGGUAGCGAAAUUCCUUGUCGGGUAAGUUCCGACCUGCACGAAUGGCGUAACGACUUCCCCACUGUCUCAACCACAGGCCCGGCGAAAUUGCACUACGAGUAAAGAUGCUCGUUACGCGCGGCAGGACGGAAAGACCCCGGGACCUUCACUAUAGCUUGACAUUGGUACUCGAAUUCGAUUGUGUAGGAUAGGUGGGAGCCUGUGAAGCGGCCACGCCAGUGGUUGUGGAGGCAAGCUUGAAAUACCACUCUGUUGGAUUUGGGUAUCUAACUUCGGACCGUGAUCCGGUUCAGGGACAGUGUCUGGUGGGUAGUUUAACUGGGGCGGUUGCCUCCUAAAAUGUAACGGAGGCGCCCAAAGGUUCCCUCAGCCUGGUUGGCAAUCAGGUGUUGAGUGCAAGUGCACAAGGGGGCUUGACUGUGAGACUGACAGGUCGAGCAGGGACGAAAGUCGGGACUAGUGAUCCGGCACUGGCAGGUGGAAGCGGUGUCGCUCAACGGAUAAAAGGUACCCCGGGGAUAACAGGCUGAUCUUCCCCAAGAGUCCAUAUCGACGGGAUGGUUUGGCACCUCGAUGUCGGCUCGUCGCAUCCUGGGGCUGGAGUAGGUCCCAAGGGUUGGGCUGUUCGCCCAUUAAAGCGGUACGCGAGCUGAGUUUAGAACGUCGUGAGACAGUUCGGUCCCUAUCCGCCGCGCGCGUAGGAUACUUGAGAAGGGCUGUCCCUAGUACGAGAGGACCGGGACGGACGAACCUCUGGUGUGCCAGUUGUUCUGCUAAGAGCACGGCUGGCUGGCUACGUUCGGAAGGGAUAACCGCUGAAAGCAUCUAAGCGGGAAGCUCGCUUCGAGAUGAGGUAUCCCACCCCUUGAGGGUUAAGGCCCCCAGCGAGACCACUGGGUUGAUAGGCCGGAAGUGGAAGCCUGGUAACAGGUUUGAGCUGACCGGUACUAAUAGGCCGAGGACUUGACCC